GUCAUUUGUACAAGAAUCUACAGGUCGAGCAAGUCUCGUAAAUUUCACGAUUGCGAGCCACGCUUCACGCAACCGUGUUUGCGUACUUGUGUUUCGAGUUGCGUGGUCGUGCGGAGUUAUCAAAUUUAAAUCCGUUCCAACAUGCUGUCAAAAUUAAAUCAAUAUGUCAAUAUGGCUACUGGGUGUAAAAGAUAAAUCUUAUUCUAUCUGUUCUUAAUGAGUUUUAGAUAAUUUUAGUUGUAUUUCUUUGUAAUUUUGUGUUGUACAAAGAUUAAUUUAACAUUUUCUCUGGAAGUAUUAAUUUAGGAAGAUAAUAUGCUUCAUUGGUGUGUUUUGAAGUGUGAAAUGCAAAGUAAUUGUGAUAAAGUCAAGAUAAAGUUCACUUUUAAACUGAACUAAAUAAGGUAUCUGAGAGACAACAAUGGUUAAAUGCAAUACAAUGUACAGGUUUUACUAGCGAAAUGAAAAUUUUCCUGUCCUGUCUGCUGUAAUCAUUUUAUAUCUGGAAAACCAGCCGACUUAAUCCAUAAUAACAAUCUCCAGAUUGGGUUCCUUCAAUAAAUAUGGGCUAUAAACACAAUGAAAUAAGUUCCCCAAAAUCUAAAAUGGAGUGGUAUCAAAGGAGAAUUAAAGGAAAAAAUAUUCAUAUUGAAAUUAUUUAUAAGGCACUGGACUGUCUUAAAUUCUACAAUAAUACUAGAAUCAGCUGAGAGAAGUGGUCUACAAAAAACCAGGAAGGAAACGGAAUAUGUGGCUACGAAAGGCAAAAGAAAGGUUUACAAAGCAAAUGUGACACAUUUUUUUGAAAUAUUUAGGAAUAUCAGUAAAUUGCAUUAAAAGAAUGUAUGAAAAGAUUUUGUUCAAUAAAAAUGUUUAUAUUUA